AGGCAAUUGACGUUUCAUACUAGGGCGAGGGGUGUUGAAACGCAUGGAAGAGCAGGAAGAAACACGGACGAGCGGUGAUGAACUGCAACUGUUUGCGUGCAACAGCACCAAACGGCAUGUGACGACGUACAGUGUGUGGAUGUGUGUGUGAAAUUUUAGGCAGCGAAGAUGGAUCGAGGUUAUGUUUACAAAGUGAAAGGGAUUGAUGCAGAAGCGUCUUUGUGAUAAAAUGUAUUUUAGUUUCAUAUUUUCAGUGUUAAAGUUUUUAAUGUGAACUUAAAAGUAAUGAACAAUGGUUUUAUUCUCUUGUGUGCUGUUGGCGAAUAUUGAAGCGUUGAAAUAUUGAAGCUUCAUAUGUUAGUUUGUUGUGCUUAAUGUGAAGCAAAACUAUGUGCUUAAGUGUUAGAAAUUAGAAAUAUUUAAACGUAUCCGUCUAAUGUUCAGUUGUACCGAUCUAAUUGUCAAUAUUUUUGGGUGUCCUUAUCGUUUAACAGGAGAAACAGAUUGGAGGUUAGAUACGUGCAGCUAUUUCGCCUCCACAGUGUUCUUCAGUUGUGUUUCAAGCUGUCCGAAGGCACACAAAUCCGAUUCACCUCGUAUGCACCCAGCGGAUUUCAUGCGAAGGAUAUUGGAAAGCCAUCAAAGAAGUGGGCAUGAUGGUAAGGAAACUUUGAUUCUUUUUACUUUUAGAUUUCUUAUCCUUAUUUUUGUUUACAACAACCUUGGAUCGUCGGCGCCGGCCUUAUGGAAACUGCGCGGUCAGAGCAACAACCGGAAGCAUUUCGUUCCAGGUGGAAAUUAUCUCAAGUUUGGGAAUUGAAGAGAGUUACGGCACACUGUGAACAUCGUUGUAAACAAUUGAUGGUAAUAUUUAUAUAGGUAACAUUUAUAUUUAUAUAUUUAUAUAUAUGAAUGCAUGUGUUUAUCGAAUUAUUCAUUAAUUCGUUUAUUUAUUAAUUAGAGCAUUAGUUUAGUUACGGAGCAGCUUAUCCCGGCCUUUCUCGGGUUUAGUUGCUGUUGCUUGACCGCGACGAUUGACACCAGAGUUUGUUAUGGUCGUAUUGUCGUCGUGUAAUCGUGUUAUUGCUGUUAACGUACUUUAUUUAUAUCUAUUAAGAUGCAACAGCAUUAUUUAUUUUCCGGAAUAUCGUUAGCGUUGUUCCUGCUAAUAAGACGGAAGACGUUUGAAAUUAGCACCUGUGUCAAUCGUCAAACGGUUGACAGUGGGCACUAAAGUACAAUAAAUGGUAGGAGCAAAAACGCGAUGGCUGUUACUGAUUUGCAAAAUGAAACCAACAGCCAUUUUACAUGUUUUAUCUUAAACAUGCAUUGCACCUGAAAGCUACCAAAGCAAAUGUGUAUUUCGUACCUCCUGAUUUGUGAUAGAAUAAAAGGUACAGUUCCAUUAAAACAGUCGACCGAUUGAUUGAUCCAAAGUUUGAAACGUUUGUGUGGCUUGUGCUGUGUUUGUGAAAUUGGUGUUGUGAAAAUUAAGUGUGAAAAUGAUGAAAAGAAAGCGUGAAACAGGCUCCUCUUAUAAAAUUGCUCAAGCCGAUAACAAAAAGCUUGAGGCCGAGUUAUUUGGCGAAAGUAGUUCUUUUGGGAUGAGCAGCAACCCAUCAGCAAUUAAUGAAGAGGACAUUUGUGUGCAUGAUCUUCUCGUAUGUGGUCCUCAAGAUAUUGAUCAAGAAGAACACAACUAUGAUUGGAUAAAUAUCGAAGAGAUUGACAACUGCGAAAUUAUCAACGAUGACGUAUCCGAGAUAACGUUGGAAAAUGCACCGGAUUCCCCAAAGGAAGAUGAGCCAAUUGAGGAAGUUAUUAGAAACUGGGCUCUAAAAACAUAUCAGACGCACCAAGCACUCAACAGUUUAUUGGCUAUUUUGCAUGCACGAACCGAAUUUAACCUACCAAAAGAUGCGCGUACGCUACUUAGAACAAAGCAGUGUGGAAAGGAAAUAGUACCGAUAGCUGGAGGAGAGUUUUGGUAUCCGGGAGUACGAUCGGUUCUCCACAACUAUUUCCGGUGAGUAAACAAUAAUAUUGUUUUAUUCAGGAGCAGGCCGUAUUGUUUAACAAGGCUGUUAAAAAUGACAAAAUCUAAUGCAUUUUUUUCUAUUUGCAGUGAUGUACAACCAACAGUAAAUGAGUUUUCUUUAAAUUUCUUUAUUGAUGGACUACCGUUGCACAAGAGCACCCGAAAACAGUUUUGGCCAAUACUGAUGAGCAUUCACGAAAUGCCAGAAGUUCCUGUGUUGAUGGUUGGCAAUUUUUAUGGGCAAUCUAAACCGAAGAGUUUAGAUGAAUACCUUCGUCCACUCGUGGAGGAGCUCAAUGAGUUGAUAGAUAAUGGUAUAAAAAUAGCCAAAAAGACCAUCAAAAUAAUUAUUAGAGCAUUUAUCGCAGACGCACCUGCACGAGCGUUCAUAAAAGGUGUUGCCUAUUUCAAUCAUAAACUGGGAUGCCAGAGAUGUACAGUCGAAGGACAAUUUAGUAAAAAAGCUCGAGUGAUGUAUUUUUCGAAGAUAGACGCACCAAGAAGAACGGAUGAAGAGUUUCGUGGAGAAAAGUAUGGUGACCACCACCGAGAAAGAACACCUCUACUGCAUCUAAAGACAAUCGAUAUCAUUCGAAAUAUUAUUAUCGCGGAUGUAUUGCAUUUGAUAGACUUUGGAAUAUCACGAACAUUAAUCGUCGGAUGGAAAUCAGGAAAGCUAAUAGGGCGCAGUUGGUCAUCGGAAACGCUGAAUUACAUAAAUUCGCUACUUCAAAAGGUGGAAAUUCCGCCUGAAUAUCAUCGCAAAUUCCGUCGAAUUGAAGACACUGGUUUAUGGAAAGCCAUUGAAUAUCACAUGUUUUUACAUUACGCCAGUUUUAUAGUGUUGAAAAAUGUAUUAACUGAAAUGGAAUACAAACAUUAAAUGUUGUAUUUUUGUGCAAUAAGAGCAUUUUCUUCGGAAAUUUACAAACAUUUUUGGCCAGAAGCGGACCGGCUUCUCAAACAGUUUGUUGUAGAGUAUGGUGUCAUUUACGGUGAACACCGUUUGACUAGCAAUGUACAUAGUUUGGUACAUGUUUUCGAAGAUGUGGACAAAUUUGGAGUUCUUAAAAAUAUGUCAUCUUAUCGUUUUGAAGGUACAUUAUUUCAUGUUAAAAAUUCACUUCGAAACGGUCAUCAGGUUUUGGUUCAGGCUGCAAAUAGAAUAUCGGAACAAUCUUCUAAAUCUCGAACGGCAAGGAAUAACUCAUACCCUUAUUUGGAACACGUAAAAAAAGGAGUAGUACUGCAUGUAAAUUAUAAUACCACAUUUUAUCCAACUUCUCAAGCAAAUUGGUUUCUAACAAAAGAUAAUUACAUUGUUCAAUAUUGUAGGACAACAAAAGUAGGAUCUGUUAUUCACAUUUACGGGAAGGCAUUUGAUAAAAUAAUUAGUCCAGAUAAAUACUGUUCUUCGCCAUUGAUGGAAGACAUUUAUGAAGCUGAAGUGAACGAUCUUUCUACACAAGAGAUGGUAUUUUUGAUAGAAGAUAUAAAGUGUAAAUUAGUUGCAAUUAAAACUGAUGAUAGUAAUUAUGUAUUUGUACCUCUUAUAGACACAUUAAUGAAGUGAAAAUAAAUGAUAAAAUUUGACUUGACUUAAAAGGAUGUUUACCUUUACCUUUUAUAAGGUUGGCCGUGAUAUUGUUUAUAAGAAUUUAAAUGUAAUGUUUAAAUGUAAAUGUAUGUUAAUGUAAUGUAUGUUUUUUUGUAUAUUUGGUUUGAGUUCUUGGUUAAUUAUGAAUUGGUAAAGUGUUUUACAAUCUUUCAUUUCAUUUUCAAGAUAUUACGUUGGUGUUUCACCAUUUCAGGAUUUAGAAAUUGUUUUUCUAUCAGACGCAAGGACUGCUUCGAAGUUUAUUAAAGAAUAGAUAAAAGCUGUAAUAUAAUAUCAAUAGUACAUUACAAUAAAUAAAAAUGGAAAAGCAAUAUUUUUAUCAAUAAAUAAUAUGUAAUAUAUAAACGGCGAUGCGGUAACGGCAACUAUGAAUAGGUAGAGCAAUUUAAUUAAAUAAAUAUAUUUUUAUUUCUUCCUUCUAUGGCAGCUUGUUUUAACAUUUCCCUGCAUGUUUACUCUUGCCGGUGCAUGCGUCAGUUUUCUUUUUAAAUAUUCUUUAACAUAUUCUAUAUCUACUUCUAUUCCUACGUGGUUUGUGGCGAUAGACUUAAAUAAGCGCACUGUAUUUCGGUAUUUACUAAAAGCUAUUUUUUUUCCUGACGAUCCUUCCCAGCUGCACCGUGCAAGAAAAUUCCUAUCAAACAACACGUCUAAAGCCUCAUGCAUCCUGUUGUUGGGAUCCUGGCUGCUGAUAUCUGCAUCUAUCCUUUGAGUAUAACUGCAAAAUGCAAAAUCAUCUUCAGCUAUUUUUGCUUCAAAAGCAUCAAACUGUUGUUCAUUUCCGAUUUUUUCCAUGGCUAAACUCUGCGCAUUUCUUCUUAUACCCUUCAUAGGAUUCAGUAUUGUGGACUGCUCAUUUAAAAUCACCAAUAUCUGAGCGCUGCGUGCAUCAAUUUUCAUUAACAUCAUCCGACAAAGAGGGCAGCAGCUUCCAGAAUGCUCUGUUGAAGUAAUUGAAAGGACUGUUUGCUUUGCUCCUGCUGCAGUCUGGUGUUCAUCGUCGGUGAUCAUCAUUAUUGGCGACGAAGGCAGCACAGGCAAAUUUAUCACAACACUACCAGUUGCUCGUUCAGUCUUUAUGUUCGAUGUACCGGUGCUUGUCGAUGGCUCUUGGUUUCCACCAUCAACUAUCUUGCCUGGCGGUCGGAUCUGGCUAGGAACACCGGUAAAAGAUUGCUCAGAUAUAGCAGUACUCGUUGAUGGUUUUUGAACAUUAACGCUGAUCAUUUUGGCUGGUGUACGGCUCACAACACAAACAGAUCCUCCAGCAGCCGCUAUCACCGAUGCAGAAGCACUGGUGGGUAAUUGUUGUCUUACAACAGUGGUCUUCAUACCACGCUGGUUCUUCGGAGCAUGAACUUCGGCAAACGAUCCAAUCGAUGGUACUGCAGAUCCCGUCAAUGCCUGUUGUCUACCGAUCUUCAUGCCUGAUUGCUGCGGAAGAGCAUCAGUAACCGAUACCAAUGAUGGCGCAGCAGUACUAGUUGACGGUUGCUGUCCAUGUUGCUGGCCUAACGGACGGAAUGGUGCAGCAACACCAGGUAAUGUUGACCGAUGAUGAUUACCAUCACCGGCACUCGAGACCAGCGCUGACACUGCAUCCGUUACCUUCACCUGUUCAACAACACGAACUGGCAUUCUUUGUUGACUGAGCCGUGCGCGCUGACCGGCCACUGAAACCACCGAAGGCACUGCACUUGUUGUCGUGAGUUGUCCAACAACACGGACCGGCAAGCCGGGAGGACGAAUGGCACUAGGAACGGCAACCGAAACCACCGUCGGCACUGCACUUGUCGUCGGAAGUUGUCCAACAACACGGACCGGCAAGCCGGGAGGACGGAUGGCACGAGGAAUGGCAACCAAAACCACCGAUGGCACUGCACUUGUCGUCGGAAGUUGUCCAACAACACGGACCGGCAAGCCGGGAGGACGAAUGGCACGAGGAACGGCAACCGGAACCACCGAUGGCACUGCACUUGUCGUCGGAAGUUGUCCAACAACACGGACCGGCAAGCCGGGAGGACGAAUGGCACGAGGAACGGCAACCGGAACCACCGAUGGCACUGCACUUGUCGUCGGAAGUUGUCCAACAACACGGACUGGCACAUCUGAAUGACGAAACGACUGCACACCCGCAAUGGCCGAAGGCAUCACUUGUAGAGGAAGUGGUACUUGAGACUCUUCCACAACUUCUUCCUCCAAACGAAGACACGUUAGUUUAUCUUGCGUCGACAUGGUGUAACUUUUGCAAAAUGUACGAAAUUGCACUAAUAUUUUCAAAUUUACACAAAAGACACUUUUAGACACUUUUUCACGAGGCACUGACACGAUGUAUUAACUUUGGAGUCUGAAGUUGAACUAAAAUUGUUUAACAAAGUGUUAGCCCUUUUAUACUGCAUUUCGAGCAGACUUAUGAAUGAGUGGGAGGAGUUAAAGGACUUGUGGAAGAAGGAAUAGGAUAUGGUGUAAUGUCGAAUAUUGUGCCUGUUGCUUGUGCUACCGAAUGUCGCCAAGCUCACGUACCCGCGUUUUAUGUACCUUUUCUUGGUGUUUUCGAGUUACUCGCCACCAACAUGCAUAUCGGCUGGAACUUGGACCCAUGCUAAAUUGAAGCAAAGUUAAAGUAAGUCUGACCUAAGUCAGUCCGAGUAAGUCAGUAGCUAAAGUAAUAUAAAGACAGUAUGAUAAACUGGCGUCGUGUAUCAGAUCGCAACUGCUAAUAAUUUCGUCGUCUGAGGCGGACUGUUAUGGAGGUACCAAAUCUUCAGUGAUGAUGAAUGCGUUCACGAAUCUACGAGCCGGUGAUUGGCGGUAUCCAGAUCAUCGUCGUACUGUUAGCUUACCUAAACUACCAAAAUUAGUGACAAUGUAAAAUUUGUGCUGUGAAGAUUAGGGGAAUUUGGGGCAAGUGUGCCAACGGGGCAAGUGUGCCACCAAGCAUUUUUCCUUAAAAACUUUAGUUUAAUGAUCAAUUGUGUAUACAGUUGGUUGCUUUCCAAUGACAAGGUAUGCUGAGCCGAAUUUCAUAUUGACCAAUCGAUAUUUCGCAUUGUUUUGAACUGAUUAAUAUGAGCUUCAAAAUUGUGCAGAAUAUUAUAAUUUUUUCAUCCAACCAAAUAAGCUCUCAAAAAUCAUGCGAACAAUCAACCGAGAAAAUAUUUACACCACCGUAUAGCUGAGAAAACGCGAAAUUUUUUGUGGGGUUAGUUGAAAAAAACUUUCUUUUUGUCACUGAAAAAUUCAAUUUCAAAAAAGCUACAACUU